UCUGUCAAUCUUUGGAGGAGGCACAGUCACCUGCUGGACUCAUCAGGUUGUAUCCAUUUAGGUUUGGGGGUAAUUAGCAUGGAGCAGGAACUCUGGCCACCAGCAGCCCUGUAAACGACCUCUGACCUCCCCUACAUGAUCAGCACAUUGAGAGGAGGGCCGGCUUUAAUUAGGAGGUCAUUAAGAGCCAACCUCAACCCACCAUGGGACCACAUAAAGCCAGCAUGCACUCCCACCUGCAAUCACAAAACCUGCACCCCGACCAACCAUUCAAACACAGCUGAGCGCUGCACAAACGGCAUGUCUGUGAUUCAUUUCUUUCUCUUUGCCUUAUGCAAGAUCAUUAAACGUUGAUCCUGGUCCAAAAUAAAUUUGCUCAGCUCUACUGAAGUAAAAAUAUUAGAUUAAUGAAGUGCUUUCCUUUUUUUUUUCAAGCAUUUAUGCACUAAGAGGUCACAUGAAAUUUGCUGGGAGGAAAAAAAGGGGUUUAAACCCUGGUGGUUUUUCACAGGAUUAAAAAUGGAGGAAAUGGAAAUUAAAAGUGUAUGAAAGGCGGUUGAGCUGAGUCUAAAGACGUGACACAACAGAGUCAGAUUGAGUAUAAAGGUGAGAGAAAAUGGAUGACAAGGGAAAGAGCGAGCUUUUAUUCAGGCCUCUGAUUUCACACUCGCACAAAGAGCUUUGGGGACGUUUCAUCCUUUUCACAUUUCUUCUGCAUUUAGUCAGUGUUAUUCUGCAGUGCAGUGUCUCCUCUAAGAGAGAGGGAGCGCUGCCCAGAGAGGAGUCAGCUCCAUUCACAGCUUUAUAAAUCACCUCAGCAUGUGCAGACCGUGGCCAAUCGGCCAAUUACGCCCCCCUGACACACCGGGGCCGAUAAAGAAGGCCUGGGACAAAGGGAUCACAGGCCAGAUAAACGACCCUUUAAUGAAGUCGCCCACAAAACAGGCCAAAACCGCGCGCCCCACUUACGUAUUCCAUCACGCCGUUGCCCUCACAUUUCCUCUUGCUCGGCCGCAGCGGCAGGCACAGCUGGGGAGAGGGAGACAUAGAGUAGGAGAGGCAGAGAGGGAGAAAAAUGACUCUGUGCUCUGACACUGCUAAGCCCCCCAUCCAAGGCCCCUUUCAGACUUUUGGCCGAACAAAAGCAUCUGUUGCCAUACUGUGCCGCUCAGACCCCCCCUCACACUCAUGCAUACUGGAGCCGGGUACGGAGCCUCGCAGGAGCUAAAAGAGGCAGCACAGGGCCGUAUGCAGCUGAGGCUGCUCACCUUGUGGCACAAGCUAUUGUGAGCCCCCGUUCCAGGAGCUUCUCCAUCCAUCUUUGUGUCUGUGGGACAAAUAGAGAAAGAGAGAGAGAGAGAAACUUUGUGUGACAGAGAGAGAGAGAGGGGCACAGGACUGCAGCUGCAGGAUGAAUAGGAGAGGGAAUGAAGGGAUGAGGUGGGAGCAAGAGAGAGAGAAGGGGGCAGCUGCAGGGUGGUCCCACCCUCCGGCCCUCCACCUCCACAGAGUUGUUUGGCUUCUCUUUGGAUUCAGAACACAAACAACUUCAUGGUGCAGGAGCAGAGAGUUUCUGUCAACCUCAGAGAGGGUCUCAGACAGAGCGAGAGGGAAGAGAGAGGAGGAGAGGUGUUUGUUUACUUCAGAGUUUCAUAUUUUAACCUCACAGGAUAGACCUUAAGCUCACAUCCAAAACUUCUAUGACACUCAUGACUACAGAUGUGUGCACACAUGAUGCACACAGUAGGAACACAAUAAAUACAAUGUCACUGAGGUCUAAAACUGGUGUGCUCCUCUGUUUAUUAGUUGCAUACUAUUUUGUCCCUUAUGGCUCUCCAUAGUAAAGCUGCUGCUGUGUCCUCCUGCUUCUUGCUGCUGCCUUUUGAAAAAUAACAACAUGGCUACACUAUUUGAUGCUGUCAAAAAACUGUACCUGAAACCGUUAGGCAAAACAAGGCCUUCAAAGUUUUGAACUUAAACUGUGCAAAGGAUAAACACGCAGCAGUUUCUGCAUUUCAAAAUAAAUUGAUUAUGAUUUUAAAUUAACAUAAAUUACCUAUUUUAAAUUUUUACUGUAUAAGCCACUGAAGUGUAUCUCCCUGGAGUUGUGGGUUGUGAAUAGGGUUGGGCAUGGUCUUGAGCAUUGAUGGGAAUUUGGAAUAACUAUAAUAAAAUAAUCCACACACCAAAUCAUUUGCGCACCUGAAUUACAUGUGAAGUCGAUGCAAAGACGCAAUUAGACACUCGUACAACUCUGGCGGCGCAAAUAACACGAGUUGGGCAGGAGCUGAAAAUGUCUCAACUUGAGCGAAUAUUUGCUUCGCAAUACUGCCAGGUGAGGUAUGAAAAUGGACGGUUGUUCACUGGUAUCUAAAAUGGAGUAUAAACUGAUCAUGUUGGUGUGUGGGUGCCCCGAAUUAUAU